UUGAACCCAGGAGGCAGAGGUUGCAGUGACUGAGAUCAUGACACUGUACUCCAGCCUGGGUGACAUAGCGAGACUCCAUCUCAAAAGAAAAAAAAAAGAGUAUGGUAGCUUUGAAUUCUCUUCAGCAGACAUAGCAGAACACUCCUGUUGGUCAUCUGUGAGAGUUUCUACCUUAGAAGUUUUGUGGUCAGCAUGAUGGUUUUUUAAAAAAAGAACAGAAAAAAGUAACAACACUAAUACUUCCUAGCUUUUCUGUUUGUUUCAAGUUCUCUUCUUGAUGGCAAGAAGAUGUUCUGCAAAUAUUAUAAUUAAAGGUUUGAUUAAAAUUAAAUCGCCUAAAUUACCUGGGGAAUUUGGAAAGGUGAAGGUUUAUGUAUCCUAUUUGAAAAGUGUCAGGCUUUGUGACAGAAAGAAGAAACAUUUGUGAAGAAGAAAUGUUUAUGAAAUUGUACUAGAAAUACAGUUUUCUGUAAAAGUAAACUUUUAACCCUUAGUUUGAUUUUGCUUCAGUUGAUGAAUUUGAAUGACCAGCAGGGGGCAGCAGAUUUUCAUUAUUACUUAAACUUGCGGUUUGUCAGAAAGUGGCUUUUAUUUAUUUUAUUUAUUUAUUUAUUUAUUUAUUUUUAUUAUACUUUAAGUUUUAGGGU
rnacentral:lncRNA from 1 species